UAAGUCACAGAAGAACAUGUUGUGUGCUUCUGUUGGCACGAAACGCCCAGCACGGGCGGCAGAUCUACAGAGCAGACUGGCGGUCGCCUCGCGCUCGGGAGACGGGAAGGAUUGGGGAGCGGCUGCUAACAAGUCUGAGGCUCCUUUUCGGGGGUGAUGAAAAUGUGCUAUGAUUGUGACGUGUGCGAAUAUACUAAAAAAACUUUGAAUUGUAAACUUCAAGUGUGUGAAUCGCAUGGUACGUGAAUGACAAUAAGUCUGAGUGAAAAGCUGACUGUAGUGGUGUGGGUUUAUUUCUGGACUCCAGUCUGUUCAUAUGGAUCUAUGUGCUUAUCCUUUGACAAUACCAACUGGUUUGAUUACUUCAGAUUUACAAUGUCUUUUUAAAAGAAAUUAUUUAUUUGGCUCCCCUAGGUCUCAGUUGCAGCGUGUGUGAUUUAGUUCCCUGACCGAGGACUGAACCUGGGCCCCUUGCACUGGAGCAGAGUCCUAGCCACGCGGCCACCGGAGGAGCCCCCUGCAAUGACUCUUAAAGUCGGUUGCACACAGUCAACCCAGUUGGGUUUGAGCUGCAGAUUCUAAGUGGCCUCGUGUGGACAGCGGUUCCAGGGCUGGCCCUGCCCUCACAGCCUUUGCAGUGCUGUCUGACCUCUGUCCUGUGUGGGCACUGCCAAGUGGCCAGUGUGGAGCCUGGGCAAUGCUGUGUCCUGCGGUUCACUUCUUGAACUUGGUGUGGCACACAGCUUGGGGGUGAGCCCAGAAGUCAUAAGCCACCUCAUGGCUGCUCUCUGGAGCCCCUUCCUGGCUCGUCUCUGUCACGUUCCGGCUGCCUGGGGCUCCGCCUUCCAGUCCUCUGGCAGAAGUUGGGGGCUUCACUCACCCCACGCUCCUGUACACUCCCCCGACUGAGCCUGCAUCUUGAGACAGAAAAGGCCUGGCUCUCCCCCUCCCCUCGAAGCAAGCGGGUCCCACCCUCUGGAGCGUGUCUCCUCUGACUGGAGAGCAGGGUCUCACCCCUAAAAAGGUGCCUGUGAGCCCUGCUGCCUUGACUGCAGCCCGGCUACAGGUGGGACUGCCAGGGGCCCCAAACCAGCAAACAGAGCCACCCUCCCCAUCCCUCUCCUCUCCCUCGCUGAGCCAGAGCUAGAGGGCUUCUGGAGCCCCCUGUCCUUGUCACAGCCCCUGGCUGACUUCUGGCGCAGCGGAGUCCAGCCAGGGCCACAGGGGGAAGACCCUGAGGCUCACCGCCAGGUUGGUGCUUCCAGUUCUGGUCCCCCCGCCCCCUGCCAUCUGCCUGCCUCUGCUCUGUCUUCAGAGGCCUCAGUGCCUCCUGCGCCACCUUCUCUCCGCAGGGGCGCUUGCUGGGAGAGACCAGGCCCAUCUCACCCAAAGUGGGAGCCCAGGAGACGGGAAAGAAAAAGGCCACAAGCAAACGCACCUCCUUUGUCUCGCCUGGGCGGCGCUUCCUGUCUUGCCUCCUCUGGCUUUUCUUUACCGAAGUGAGUGAGUGUGUACAUGGACGUCGUAUUCCGGACCACCGGAGGGUGAACUGCAGGUACCAGUCCACCUGGACAUGUCGUCAUGCCUCGCUCCAGAAAUGGCUCCUGGGGAGCAGCCUGCCCCGGAGACCUCCGUGGCGAUGUCACGUGCCACCUCCUUCAGUGCAUAAUUGCACAACCGGUCCUUCCCCAUCCACAGUCUCAUAAUUUAUCUGUGUCCCUUGUAAACA
ensembl:lncRNA